AAUGAGGUGCCUGAUUUAAAAGGGUUAUUUUGAUAGAAUAAAUUAUGUAUAGUUUUUACCCCCAUUA
rnacentral:tRNA from 1 species